rnacentral:tRNA from 1 species
GCCUAGUUAGCUUAGUUGGUAGUGCGUCUGCCUCGUAAGCGCUAGGCCGCGGGUUCGAUCCCCGCCCGGGGCG